rfam:Daphnia pulex DAPPTscaffold_235_Cont7582, whole genome shotgun sequence.
GCAUCGAUGGUUCAGUGGUAGAAUGCUCGCUUGCCACGCGGGUUCGAUUCCCGGUCGAUGCA